GGGUUGUGAGGUUAAGCGACUAAGCGUACACGGUGGAUGCCCUGGCAGUCAGAGGCGAUGAAGGACGUGCUAAUCUGCGAUAAGCGCCGGUAAGGUGAUAUGAACCGUUAUAACCGGCGAUUUCCGAAUGGGGAAACCCAGUGUGACUCGUCACACUAUCAUUAACUGAAUCCAUAGGUUAAUGAGGCGAACCGGGGGAACUGAAACAUCUAAGUACCCCGAGGAAAAGAAAUCAACCGAGAUUCCCCCAGUAGCGGCGAGCGAACGGGGAGGAGCCCAGAGCCUGAAUCAGCAUGUGUGUUAGUGGAAGCGUCUGGAAAGGCGCGCGAUACAGGGUGACAGCCCCGUACACAAAAGCGCAUGUGCUGUGAGCUCGAUGAGUAGGGCGGGACACGUGGUAUCCUGUCUGAAUAUGGGGGGACCAUCCUCCAAGGCUAAAUACUCCUGACUGACCGAUAGUGAACCAGUACCGUGAGGGAAAGGCGAAAAGAACCCCGGCGAGGGGAGUGAAAAAGAACCUGAAACCGUGUACGUACAAGCAGUGGGAGCACCCUUUGGGGUGUGACUGCGUACCUUUUGUAUAAUGGGUCAGCGACUUAUAUUCUGUAGCAAGGUUAACCGUAUAGGGGAGCCGGAGGGAAACCGAGUCUUAAC
rnacentral:rRNA from 2 species